rnacentral:misc_RNA from 1 species
GAUGAAGAACGCAGCGAAAUGCGAUAAGUAGUGUGAAUUGCAGAAUUCAGUGAAUCAUCGAAUCUUUGAACGCACCUUGCACCCUUUGGACUGCUCCAAAGGGUAUGCUCGUUUGAGUGUCAUUGUACUCUCACACUCUCUGAUCCUUUGGAUUUGGGGAGCAGUGGACUUGGGUGCUUGCUGCUUCCUUGUGGCUCACCUGAAAUGCAUCAGUGCAUCUCUCGAUUGGACAUAGUACGGCGUGAUAAGUGUCUUCGCCGGCACCUCAUAUGAGGGUGGCCGAUCGGGAGCUCUGUGCUUUCAAACCGUCUUCGGACAACGCUGACAACUUGACCUCAAAUCGAGUAGGACUACCCGCUGAACUUAAGCAUAUCAAUAAGCGGAGGA